rnacentral:ncRNA from 1 species
UAUCUGAUUGAUUCUGUCAGCGCUAUAUGCUUACGUAAAAGACUAAGCCAUGCAUGUACUGUUCAACUAACGGUGAAACUGCGAACGGCUCAUUAGAGCAGAUAUCAUUUAUUCGGUAAUAUUUUUGGAUAACUGCGGUAAUUCUGGAGCUAAUACAUGCAUCAAUGCCCCAACUUCGGAAGGGGUGCAAUUAUUAGAACAGACCAAUCGUCCUUGGACGUA